UAAGUAAGCUUUGAUCCAGAGAUUUCCGAAUGGGGAAACCCAGCAUGAGUUAUGUCAUGUUAUCGAUAUGUGAAUACAUAGCAUAUCAGAAGGCACACCCGGAGAACUGAAACAUCUUAGUACCCGGAGGAAGAGAAAGAAAAUUCGAUUCCCUUAGUAGCGGCGAGCGAAACGGGAAGAGCCCAAACCAACAAGCUUGCUUGUUGGGGUUGUAGGACACUCUAUACGGAGUUACAAAGGACGACAUUAGACGAAUCAUCUGGAAAGAUGAAUCAAAGAAGGUAAUAAUCCUGUAGUCGAAAAUGUUGUCUCUCUUGAGUGGAUCCUGAGUACGACGGAGCACGUGAAAUUCCGUCGGAAUCUGGGAGGACCAUCUCCUAAGGCUAAAUACUCUCUAGUGACCGAUAGUGAACCAGUACCGUGAGGGAAAGGUGAAAAGCACCCCGGAAGGGGAGUGAAAUAGAACCUGAAACCGUGUGCUUACAAGUAGUCAGAGCCCGUUAAUGGGUGAUGGCGUGCCUUUUGUAGAAUGAACCGGCGAGUUACGAUUUGAUGCAAGGUUAAGCAGUAAAUGUGGAGCCGUAGCGAAAGCGAGUCUGAAUAGGGCGUUUAGUAUUUGGUCGUAGACCCGAAACCAGGUGAUCUACCCUUGGUCAGGUUGAAGUUCAGGUAACACUGAAUGGAGGACCGAACCGACUUACGUUGAAAAGUGAGCGGAUGAACUGAGGGUAGCGGAGAAAUUCCAAUCGAACCUGGAGAUAGCUGGUUCUCUCCGAAAUAGCUUUAGGGCUAGCCUCAAGUGAUGAUUAUUGGAGGUAGAGCACUGUUUGGACGAGGGGCCCCUCUCGGGUUACCGAAUUCAGACAAACUCCGAAUGCCAAUUAAUUUAACUUGGGAGUCAGAACAUGGGUGAUAAGGUCCGUGUUCGAAAGGGAAACAGCCCAGACCACCAGCUAAGGUCCCAAAAUAUAUGUUAAGUGGAAAAGGAUGUGGCGUUGCCCAGACAACUAGGAUGUUGGCUUAGAAGCAGCCAUCAUUUAAAGAGUGCGUAAUAGCUCACUAGUCGAGUGACACUGCGCCGAAAAUGUACCGGGGCUAAACAUA
rnacentral:rRNA from 1 species